rnacentral:rRNA from 1 species
UUUAAAUUGAGAGUUUGAUCCUGGCUCAGGAUGAACGCUGGUGGCGUGCCUAAUACAUGCAAGUCGUACGCUAGCCGCUGAAUUGAUCCUUCGGGUGAAGUGAGGCAAUGACUAGAGUGGCGAACUGGUGAGUAACACGUAAGAAACCUGCCCUUUAGUGGGGGAUAACAUUUGGAAACAGAUGCUAAUACCGCGUAACAACAAAUCACACAUGUGAUCUGUUUGAAAGGUCCUUUUGGAUCGCUAGAGGAUGGUCUUGCGGCGUAUUAGCUUGUUGGUAGGGUAGAAGCCUACCAAGGCAAUGAUGCGUAGCCGAGUUGAGAGACUGGCCUGCCACAUUGGGACUGAGACACUGCCCAAACUCCUACGGGAGGCUGCAGUAGGGAAUUUUCCGCAAUGCACGAAAGUGUGACGGAGCGACGCCGCGUGUGUGAUGAAGGCUUUCGGGUCGUAAAGCACUGUUGUAAGGGAAGAAUAACUGAAUUCAGAGAAAGUUUUCAGCUUGACGGUACCUUACCAGAAAGGGAUGGCUAAAUACGUGCCAGCAGCCGCGGUAAUACGUAUGUCCCGAGCGUUAUCCGGAUUUAUUGGGCGUAAAGCGAGCGCAGACGGUUUAUUAAGUCUGAUG